GCCCAGCUAGCUCAGUCAGUAGAGCAGGAGACUCUUAGUCUCGGGGUUGUAGGUUCGAGCCCCACAGUGGGCA
rnacentral:tRNA from 2 species